GAUGAACGCUGGCGGCGUGCCUAAUACAUGCAAGUAGAACGCUGAAGGAGGAGCUUGCUCUUCUGGAUGAGUUGCGAACGGGUGAGUAACGCGUAGGUAACCUGCCUGGUAGCGGGGGAUAACUAUUGGAAACGAUAGCUAAUACCGCAUAACAGUAGAUAUUGCAUGAUAUCUGCUUGAAAGGGGCAAUUGCUCCACUACCAGAUGGACCUGCGUUGUAUUAGCUAGUUGGUGAGGUAACGGCUCACCAAGGCGACGAUACAUAGCCGACCUGAGAGGGUGAUCGGCCACACUGGGACUGAGACACGGCCCAGACUCCUACGGGAGGCAGCAGUAGGGAAUCUUCGGCAAUGGACGGAAGUCUGACCCGAGCAAACGCCGCGUGAGUGAAGAAAGGUUUUUCGGAUCGUAAAAGCUUCUGUUGUAAG
rnacentral:rRNA from 1 species